CGCUAAGAAGCUAUAAGAUAAGCAACAGCCUUUUAAGCUGUAGACAGGUGACCUCCGCCCACCCUUAACGA
rnacentral:tRNA from 3 species